rnacentral:misc_RNA from 1 species
CCAAUAGCGUAUAUUAAAGUUGCUGCAGUUAAAAAGCUCGUAGUUGAAUUUCGGGACUAAUAUGUCGGUCGUGCCUCGGUACGUACUGGUAUUUUUGGUUUCUCCCUUCUGACGAACCUUGAUGUCAUUAAUUUGGUGUCUUGGGAAAUCAGGACUGUUACUUUGAAAAAAUUAGAGUGUUUAAAGCAGGCUCACGCUUGAAUACAUUAGCAUGGAAUAAUGAAAUAGGACGUUUGAUUCUAUUUUGUUGGUUUCUAGGAUUGACGUAAUGAUUAAUAGGGAUAGUUGGGGGCAUUAGUAUUCAAUUGUCAGAGGUGAAAUUCUUGGAUUUAUUGAAGACUAACUACUGCGAAAGCAUGUGCCAAGGAUGUUUUCAUUAAUCAAGAACGAAAGUUAGGGGAUCGAAGACGAUCAGAUACCGUCGUAGUCUUAACCAUAAACUAUGCCGACUAGGGAUCGGAUGAUGUUAAUUUUUUAAUGACUCAUUCGGCGCCUUACG